rnacentral:rRNA from 1 species
AUACGUAGGUGACAAGCGUUAUCCGGAUUUACUGGGCGUAAAGGGCGUGUAGGCGGUCUUGCAAGUCAGCGGUGAAAGCCCGGGGCUCAACCCCGGAAGUGCCGUUGAUACUGCAUGGCUGGAAUGCGGUCGAGGCGGGGGGAAAGGGGCGGGGAGCGGGGGAAUGCGUAGAUAUGCCACAGAACGCCGGUAGCGGAGGGAGCUCGCCAGGCCUGCAUUGACGCUCGGGCACGAAAGCGUGGGGAUCGAACAGGAUUAGAUACCCUGGUAGUCCACGCCGUAAACGAUGGGCGCUCGUCGUCGGCGGCAGACAGUCGGCGGCCAAGCGAAAGCGAUAAGCGCCCCACCUGGGGAGUACGGUCGCAAGGCUGAAACUCAAAUGAAUUGGCGGGG